CGACGACUGGUUCAGGGAUGGGCCCAGGAUCCAAGCAGACCCAAUCGGGGUCUCCUCCAGAUAUGAUCCGCUGAGACUUCCAAGAGGACACUUUUGGGGUUACUGAUCUGGGAGGAUGUGGGGCUGCUUAUCCCCACAAUCUCUGCAAGAUGCCCAUCUUGACCACCACAGGGAAAGAGCCUGCUUGAGAAUAAAGUCAACCCAUGGAGCGAGUGACAGAAAGAGAGGGGACGAGAGCCAGCCCUGACGGCCUUACACACACCGUUGGCGCCAGCCCUGCUUGAAGUGCCAUGCUGUGAGCUGCCCAAGGGACAGGCCCAUGUGGCAAGGAAUGGACCUCAACCAAGAACCCUCAGAACUGAAUCCCUCCAACAAAAAAGAGAGAGAGCUUGGAAGCAAAUCCUUCCCUAAGCAGAUCCUUCCCCAGUCAAGCCUUAAGAUGAGAAUGCAGCCCCAGCCAACACCUGGACUGUGGCCUAUGAGAGGCCCCAAAGCAGAGGACCUAACUAAGCCACACCUGGAUCCCAACCUACAGAAAUCAUGAGUUAAUAAAUGUUGUUU
rnacentral:lncRNA from 1 species